AUUGAACACUGGCGGCAUGCCUUACACAUGCAAGUCGAACGGCAGCACGGGGGCAACCCUGGUGGCGAGUGGCGAACGGGUGAGUAAUACAUCGGAACGUGCCCAGUAGUGGGGGAUAGCUCGGCGAAAGCCGGAUUAAUACCGCAUACGACCUACGGGUGAAAGCGGGGGACCGCAAGCACUCCCGCUAUCGGAGCGGCCGAUGUCAGAUUAGGUAGUUGGUGGGGUAAAGGCCUACCAAGCCGACGAUCUGUAGCUGGUCUGAGAGGACGACCAGCCACACUGGGACUGAGACACGGCCCAGACUCCUACGGGAGGCAGCAGUGGGGAAUUUUGGACAAUGGGGGCAACCCUGAUCCAGCCAUGCCGCGUGCGGGAAGAAGGCCUUCGGGUUGUAACCGCUUUUGUCGGGGAAGAAAUCUCUCAGGCUAAUACCUUGGGAGGAUGACGGUACCCGAAGAAUAAGCACCGGCUAACUACGUGCCAGCAGCCGCGGUAA
rnacentral:rRNA from 1 species